rnacentral:rRNA from 1 species
UCACCAAGGCGACGACGCGUUCAGCUAGUUGGUGAGGUAAUGGCUCACCAAGGCGACGACGGGUAGCCGGCCUGAGAGGGUGACCGGCCACACUGGGACUGAGACACGGCCCAGACUCCUACGGGAGGCAGCAGUGGGGAAUAUUGCACAAUGGGCGCAAGCCUGAUGCAGCAACGCCGCGUGAGGGACGAAGGCCUUCGGGUUGUAAACCUCUUUUAGUAGGGAAGAAGUGACUGGGUUUUCCUGGAAGUGACGGUACCUGCAGAAAAAGCACCGGCUAACUACGUGCCAGCAGCCGCGGUAAUACGUAGGGUGCAAGCGUUGUCCGGAAUUAUUGGGCGUACAGAGCUCGUAGGCGGUUUGUUGCGUCUGCUGUGAAAACCCGAGGCUCAACCUCGGGCCUGCAGUGGGUACGGGCAGACUAGAGUGCGGUAGGGGAGAUUGGAAUUCCUGGUGUAGCGGUGGAAUGCGCAGAUAUCAGGAGGAACACCAAUGGCGAAGGCAGAUCUCUGGGCCGUAACUGACGCUGAGGAGCGAAAGCAUGGGGAGCGAACAGGAUUAGAUACCCUGGUAGUCCAUGCCGUAAACGUUGGGAGCUAGAUGUGGGGACCAUUCCACGGUCUCCGUGUCGCAGCUAACGCAUUAAGUUCCCCGCCUGGGGAGUACGGCCGCAAGGCUAAAACUCAAAGGAAUUGACGGGGGCCCGCACAAGCGGCGGAGCAUGCGGAUUAAUUCGAUGCAACGCGAAGAACCUUACCAAGGCUUGACAUAUACCGGAAACGGCUGGAAACAGUCGCCCCCAAGGUCGGUAUACAGGUGGUGCAUGGUUGUCGUCAGCUCGUGUCGUGAGAUGUUGGGUUAAGUCCCGCAACGAGCGCAACCCUCGUCCUAUGUUGCCAGCACGUAAUGGUGGGAACUCCCCUGGUCCGACCCUGCCGUUUACCGGAUACCUGGCCCCCCUUCUUCCCUUUGGGGAAAG